AGCACCCAUGACUGUAAUUCACUUUGGAUAAAAGUGUCUGCUAAAGGGCAUAUA
rfam:Salmo salar isolate Sally breed double haploid chromosome ssa20, whole genome shotgun sequence.